rnacentral:lncRNA from 12 species
CCCCGCGGUCCCCGCCCCCGCCCCCGCCCCGGAAGGCGCGCGGUGGAGCCCCAGGGGGUGCGGGGCGCCCUGCGCCGUCGGGCCGUGCGCGAGCGAUGCCGGACUUCUCGCACCUCUAGGGACAGGCGCUGCGAGGCUCCCCGUUUUCCAGGCGAGGAAGCGGGCUCAGGAAGGUCAAGGGCUGGCCCGACACGGCUCGGGCCACCUGGCUCCCGCGGCCUCUCCGCAGCCCUGCCUCUAGGAGCAGCUCUGGGUUGUGGGCACAGUGGUUAUAGGUUAUCGUAAAAGAAGCGGCUGGGGGGUCCUGAGCCCCUACCGUGUGCCAGGUGGUCACCAGGCCUGUCCUAGUGCUUCCUCUGCCCACAGCACUCGCAGGUGGGCGUGGUGUGGCCCUCACUUCGGAGUGGUCAAGAAACCUGCCCAGCGCCACACAGCUAAUAAAUAACACAAGCAAGAUUUGAGCCUAAGGCCAGUUGGCUCCAGACUUCUCCCUCUUUCCAUCACAUUCUACCCUCCGCCUCCGAGGAGCCCUCCCUGCUAGCCCCAGCUCAGGGCUCUUUGGGUCAGCAGAACAGCCAAGAGAAGUUUGCGGUCUACACCCUUGAUACAAAUCAUCUUGAUCCUCAGACACCAGCAGCAGCAGCAGCGCUGGCAUUGGCAUCAUCAGAAUCUCGUUGGGAAUUCAGAAUCUCAGGCCCCUCCCCAGGCCUGCAGAAUGAGACCUGGGUUUUAAAAGAUCCCUGGUGAAUUGGACAUGCAUGAACGUUUGAGGAGCAGUGGACUGUAAGAACACUUUGACUAAAAGUCUGCUACUGUUACUGUGUGGGAACUUGUCUUGGGGAAGCUGUGCCUCCCUUGUUAGACUGGGGGCAACCAGGCAGCAGCUGAGCCGUCUCCAUCAGACCAGAUAUGCUUCCAGGGCAGUGGCUGUGCUCUCCCCAACAGACUGGGAUCUCCCUGAGGACAGGGAUUGGUUUUCCCCAUCCACACUGGGAAUUUAGCAGAAGCAGAGAGCAUCCUCGGUCCCAUGCCAGGAGCUCGCCUGAAACUUGUGGUGCCACCCCCAUCAGACUGGGAGUCUCCAGGAUCCCGUAUGAGACUUGGUUCUCCUAUGGGUCGGCAGCCACCUGCAAGGAGAUGUACAUGGUAUCCAUGUUUUCCAAGAGGGUGCAGCAGCCCAGGACGGAGGCGUGCCUUCACUCCAGGAUCCUCAUGACCCGUCAUCGGGCCCAAGGUACCCACGGAAGGCAGAAGGUCUGGGCAAAGGAGGAACUUCUAUCUUCACCAGAAGCAAGAUUUACACUGGAAAGAAGGAUCUCGAGGGGAGGUACCAGACUCAACAUUCCUUGGCUGAGCCCCAGGGCUCUACAUAUACCUUGAAGAGCACUUAAUUGGUUGUAAUUUUUUCUACCAUGGGAUUGGCAUGUACAAUUGCAGCUUACACACUGCACAACUCCAGGUGUUUGUUAUGUGGCAUCAACCUGGGUGACCCAUCACGCAGCCCAUGAGCCAGUGUACAGUAGUGGCUGCAUAUAAGGGCUUGGCUGGCAGGCAAUGGGGGAGCUAGUCUCUCUAACUUUGUGGAGAAGCUCUCUCAUUCUCCUUGAGCCCACUUCCACAUCUAUAAAGUGGAAAUGACCAUCAUAGUCCCUUCAUUUCCAGGGCAUUUGUAGGGAUGAUGUGAGAUAACCAAAUGCAGAUAGCCCUUUGCACAGGGCCUGGUAACUGUGAGUCCACAGUACAGUUUUGCUUCUCACACCUGUCUCCUGGCCUGGACUGGAGGGCAGGCAGGAGCCUUAUCUGGUUAAUUCCUGCAUCCUUCUUGCCCGGCCCAGUCCUGGCACACUGGGGGAACUUACUACCCAUUUGCCAAGGAACUAAAGGAAUAACAUUAAGGAUGGUGAGGGUAUUUGGGGGACACUGAAGCAGCAGGCAUCGGGCUGGCACCUCCACCACAAUUCUUCCCUUUUGGAGAGAGCCUAGGGCCUGGUCUGAACGAUGACCUUCCACCAGAUGCCUCCCUGUCUCUGGUGUUCAUUUUCUCUCGGUGCCCUUACUCAGGCAGAGGGCGAGACCGUCGGCCCCAGGCUGGGUCCGGCAGGGAGGCAUGCUUCACAAGGCCUGCC